AUUGAACGCUGGCGGCAGGCCUAACACAUGCAAGUCGAACGAGUGGCGGACGGGUGAGUAAUGUCUGGGAAACUGCCUGAUGGAGGGGGAUAACUACUGGAAACGGUAGCUAAUACCGCCUACCAUCGGAUGUGCCCAGAUGGGAUUAGCUAGUAGGUGGGGAAAAGGCUCACCUAGGCGACGAUGCCUAGCUGGUCUGAGCGGAUGACCAGCCACACGGGAACUUAGACACGGCCCAGACGCCUACGGGAGGCAGCAGUGGGGAAUAUGGCACAAUGGGCGAAAGCCUGACGCAGCUACGCCGCGUGAAUGAAGAAGUCCUUCGGUUGGUAAAGCACUGUCAGCGGGGAGGCGUUACCCGCAGAAGAAGCACGGGCUAACUCCGUGCCAGCAGCCGCGGUAAUAC
rnacentral:rRNA from 1 species